CAAUAGCGUAUAUUAAAGUUGUUGCGGUUAAAAAGCUCGUAGUUGGAGUUCAGAGUGAGCUCAGCCGGUCGGCCUCAUGGGUCAGAACUGGUCGACUCUCUCUUGUUUGUGGAUCCCGUCCGGAGUUAACUCUUCGGAAUGUGGAGUUCACAUCGUUUACCUUGAAAAAAUUAGAGUGUUCAAAGCAGGCGUUUGCUUGAAUAUAUUAGCAUGGAAUAAUGGAAUAGGACCCUGGUUCUAUUUUGUUGGUUUUGAGGACCAGAGUAAUGAUUAAUAGGGAUAUUUGGGGGCAUUCGUACUAACCGGUCAGAGGUGGAAUUCUUGGAUUCGGUUAUGACGAACGACUGCGAAAGCAUUUGUCAAGAAUGUUUUCAUUGAUCAAGAACGAAAGUGUGGGGAUCGAAGACGAUCAGAUACCGU
rnacentral:rRNA from 1 species